UCGAGGGGCAGCGGGGAGCAAGCUUGCUUGCUCUGCCGGCGACCGGCGCACGGGUGAGUAACACGUAUGCAACCUGCCCUCCGCAGGGGGAUAACCCGGAGAAAUCCGGACUAAUACCGCGUGGUACACUUGUGGGGCAUCCCACGGGUGUUAAAAGGAAGUGAUUCCGGCGGAGGAUGGGCAUGCGGCGCAUUAGCUGGUUGGCGGGGUAACGGCCCACCAAGGCGACGAUGCGUAGGGGUUCUGAGAGGAAGGUCCCCCACACUGGUACUGAGACACGGACCAGACUCCUACGGGAGGCAGCAGUGAGGAAUAUUGGUCAAUGGGCGGGAGCCUGAACCAGCCAAGUCGCGUGAGGGAAGACGGUCCUAUGGAUUGUAAACCUCUUUAGGCGGGGAGCAAUGCCGGGCACGCGUGCCCGGAGGGAGAGUACCCGCAGAAUAAGCAUCGGCUAACUCCGUGCCAGCAGCCGCGGUAAUACGGAGGAUGCGAGCGUUAUCCGGAUUUAUUGGGUUUAAAGGGUGCGUAGGCGGAUUUUUAAGUCAGCGGUAAAAUGUCCGGGCUCAACCCGGGCCGGCCGUUGAAACUGGGGAUCUUGAGUGGGCGAGAAGUAUGCGGAAUGCGUGGUGUAGCGGUGAAAUGCAUAGAUAUCACGCAGAACUCCGAUUGCGAAGGCAGCAUACCGGCGCCCGACUGACGCUGAGGCACGAAAGCGUGGGGAUCGAACAGGAUUAGAUACCCUGGUAGUCCACGCAGUAAACGAUGAAUGCUAGUUGUCCGGUUCUUUG
rnacentral:rRNA from 1 species